rnacentral:rRNA from 1 species
UACGUAGGCAGCAAGCGUUGUUCGGAGUUACUGGGCGUAAAGGGUGCGUAGGCGGCUUUUUAAGUUUGGUGUGAAAUCUCCCGGCUCAACUGGGAGGGUGCGCCGAAUACUGAGAGGCUAGAGUGUGGGAGAGGAAAGUGGAAUUCCUGGUGUAGCGGUGAAAUGCGUAGAUAUCAGGAGGAACACCGGUGGUGUAAACGGCUUUCUGGACCAUAAACUGACGCUGGAGGCACGAAAGCGUGGGUAGCAAACAGG